rnacentral:lncRNA from 1 species
CUACAAUGAACUUUGAAGCACAUUUGAGACAUCACAGAAGAAAUGGCUAGCCAUCUCUUCAAGAGAUGAGGAUAGUGUGGCAAAAAUUGCACUGUGCAUGAACAGGAAUUGAGACAAAACCUGAAAAACUGUCCUGUUCAUUUUUUCUAACUUUGGGCUUAAGGAAGGCAAUUGUCUGCCUUGAAAUGGAUGUAUCAGUGAGGCAUCAGGAGACUACAAGUUCAAAGUUCUUCAAACUCACUGUCUAUUGGAUGGCGCGAUUAAUGGUCCAGGCUCUGUUGUUCCAUCGUUUUUGUUGGUUUUACUGCAUUCCAUUCUACUAGUUAGUAGUUUAAAAGGCCACCCAAGAGCUCCAACAUGUAAAGAGCUAGGAAGUCAUGCUUACAAGAAAAAGCCAAAGAAACUAAAAAUCAUUGACUUUUCUUGGAUCCAUCAGAAAAUUGAGGUCACAAAGCAAACUUCCACACUGAAAUGCAGAGAUACAGGCAAAUACAGAGUCAAAGCAGCAAUUAGUUUCCCUCGAAUAAAAAAAAAAAAAAGGCCACUGGAUCCAUAAACUUGUAAGAAUCCUUAAACCGUAAUUUUUAUGAAUUGCUGGAAACUGAAUGUGGAUUAGUAUGAGAGUCAGAAAUUUCCUGGUGGCCUCUACAGUUAUCUGUACUUUACCUCUAAGAACCCCACCCCUCCUGUUCUCACAGUGAAGAGCCAAGAUUGAUCCUCUGGUGGUUCUGGCAGGGGGACAGGAUGAGAAAACAUUGUGAACUAUGCCCAGAGUAUGAGUGUUCUCCAUAAUACAGUCCUAUUUUCCAGGAGGAAAAAGCUUUAUCAGAGCCUUAUCCCAUCUGAAAGAAGAAUAUUUUCCCAACUCCAGCUCCCUCUGGUUUUCCUGUCUCACCUAAGAGGGGAAGCAAAAAGCUAAGAAACGUUUAUGAGUGUGUUUCACAGUCCAGGGACACAGGCCCACUAAAAGACUGUGAUUUAAUUUAUGAUGAUAGAAUGCUUCCUCUCCUCAACACUCUACAACCAAACUAACGGGGCCCCAGUAUAAUGACAGUGGAUUACAGCUGAAAGAACCAAAAGUUACAGACUCUAUCUGAGAAAAACUUCUUAGGGAAGACAAAAGAAAACUGGGAAGCUAAAAACAAACACACUAGAGGAAACGGAAGCCAUGGGCACCUAACAGCUACAGAAAUCAUUAAAUACAGCCCAACUCCUAGCCAUAUUAACAUAAAUCCUAACACUAAAGGCCUAUUCAGCUCCUAUGACCCAAGACAAAAUGUCUGGCUUUCAACAAAAAGUGCAAGGCACACAAAAAAGAAAGAUAAAACAUUGUCUGAAAAGACAAAGCGAGCAUCAGAAUCAGACUCAGGUAUGACAUUGAUGUUGGAAUUACUAGAGAAUUUAAAAUAAGUGUGAUUAAUGUGUUGAUGGCUAUAGGAAAAAGUAGGCAAGAUUCAAGAACAAAUGAGUAAUUAAAAGGAGAUAGAGGCUCUAAGAAAGACUCAAAAGGAAAUGCUAGAGAUCAAAUACAUUAUGACAGAAAUAAAGAAUGCCUUUGAUGAGCUCAUCAGUAGGCUUGACACAACCAAGAAAAGUCUAUUGACACUUAAUCAAUAGAAACUUGCCAAACUGAAAUGCAAAAAAAAAAAAAAAAAAAAAAAAAGGAGAGUGAAAAACAUGAAUGAACUUAGUACACCGGGAUUUUCAGUUUAAAAGUAUUUGCUAAGGUAUUUAAUUAUACAAUAAAUACAGAUUUAGGGCAUUUACAAAAGGAUUGCUAAACUAUGAGUGAAAAGAUUUUCAUUACAACAAUCAAUAAAUCCUGGCCAGUAGACAAAACAUUCAAUUUGGUAAAACGAGUGAAACUGUUGCACAACAAUGUGAAUGUAUCUAAUGCCACCGAAGUAUACAUUUUAAAAUGGUUAAAAUAACAAAUUUUAUGGUAUUUAUAUUUAACUAGAGUAGUAAAAAUAAUUUUAAAAGAAUGAGUGAAACCAUGGUAUGUAACGAUAUAGUUGUCCCAUUUAGUUAGUAAAAUCAUCACAGAAACCUACGUACCCAUGCACAAAAAAACAAAUGUGCGUCUCCUGAAAAAUAAGUUAAAACUGUAGGGGCCAAGGGUAAUAUUGACCCUUCACCUGUGAAGGUUUGCUGAAAAUUAACUGACAAAAGGCAUAUUAAUAGGAGAAAUGGCAUAUAAAAUGUAUUUUAAUGUGCAUGGCAAAGGGGAAUCACAGGAGAAUGACCCAACAACACAGUGGGGUAAAAAUGUUUAUAUAUUCUUCUUCAUAAGGGGAGGGGAGGUGGAGGAAAUGUGGCAAUUUGAGGGAUAGUAAAUAUUUUUAAGGGAAAAUGAGUGAACCUGGAAAACAUACAAUGGCCUGGAACAAAGCCUAUUGGGCCUGCAGAGCAGACAAUAGCUGGUAAAUGAUUCUCUUUGAAAUCCUGAAUGGGAAUGAAAUAGAAGACGAUAGUUUUUUGAAAGUCUGUCCAGGUGUGCUGACAGACUUGUCUUUCUUCCUGCAAUAUGUGUUAAGUUAAUGAAACUCAGGGAAGGGACCAGAGGUAACUGUUUUCUUCUUUGGUGGGUCCAGGCUUCAGGCUGAUAAGGGAACUUCAGAGAAAACCUUCAUCCUGUGCUUUGAGAGAGACAGAAGGUUGAGAGAUGCUGGGAGGGGUGGGGUGGGGUGAAAGAGAGACCUUGAGAAUGUUUCUUUAGUCCAACAUGUCAAAGUGCCAUAUUGUGGGGUACCGGUUUUUGAACCCCAAGAAAGCAUCUUUUAAAGAGAUGAAUAUAUUAAUGAGCUUGAUUGUAGUAAUCAGUUCAUUACGUACAUGAAUAUCAAAACAUCAUGCUAUAUACCUUAAAUAUAAACAAUUUUAAUGAGAAAAUUAAAUAAAGCAAAUUUGAAACUGCAGAAAUAAGGCCAAUAAAAUUGAUACCCUAACGGAUUAACAGACAUUUAAAGCAGUUUUUAAAGAUGCCUUUCAUGGACUAAUUUAUAAAAUUAUAUUUAUUGAGCUUCCAUUAUGUAAUAGUUAGUAUCCUAAAAGAUCAUAUGAUAUUCAGAAGAAAAAAAUUUUAAAUCAUAUUCUAUACUUUUGGAUAGGUAUUUCUGACAAUUUAUUAGUCUUCAUAUUCAAUUCAUCAGCACGUAACAAAAUAUAUUUCAACUCUGUCCACUACUCCCACGGUCCUAGUAGCACUAUUCACAAUAGCCAAGACAUGGAAACAACCCAAGGGCUCAUUUAUGGAUGAAUGGGUGAACAAAAUGUUGUAUAUAUACGCAAUGGAAUAUUGUUCAGCUUCAAAAAGAAGCAAAUCUGAUACAUGCUACAACAUGCAUGGGCCUUGAAGACAUUAUGAUAAGUAAAAUAUGCCAGUACCCAAAAAGACAAAUAGUGUAUAAUUCCACUUGUAUGAGGUACCGACAGAAAUCAAAUUCAUAGAGACAGAAAAUAGAAUGGUUGUUGCCUGGGGCUAGAAGGAGUGGAAGUGGGAAGACGUUGAAUGGGUGCAGAGUUUCAGUUUUGAAGAUAUGACGGUAGUAAUGGUUGUACAACCAUGUGAAUAUUCUUUAUACCACUGAACUGUAAACUUGGAAAUGGCAAAAAUGGUACAUUUUAUGUUAUGCGAUUAUUUACCACAGUAAAAACAAUCACCCACAAACAAAAUCUGUGCACUUUUCUUGUUUUCCUUUUGCACCAUCUAAAUUUAAGUGAUCAUCAUCUUUUCCCUGGACCAGUAAAAUAGCUCCCACUCAUUUGACCCACUUCCAUCAACUGUACAAUGCCAUGAGAGCAAACUUUUAAUUGGUAUUUAUUUAGUUAAGUGAAGAAGUCAACAGAAAAAAAAAAGUUAAGGAUUUUUAAAGAAACCUUUGUGCUUAUAAUUUUUUUAAUUGGGAAUAUGAUUCUCCAUUUUUAAUAGGGCAGAGGUCUGGAAUACAUAUACUUUACUUGGAUUGAGUAGAAUUUCUAAAAUUAGGCCGGGCGCAGUGGCUCACGCCUGCAAUCCUAGCACUUUGGGAGGCCGAGGCGGGCGGAUCACGAGGUCAGAUCAAGACCACGGUGAAACCCCGUCUCUACUAAAAAUACAAAAAAGAAUUAGCCGGGCGUGGUGGCGGGCGCCUGUAGUCCCAGCUACUCGGGAGGCUGAGGCAGGAGAAUGGCGUGAACCCGGGAGGCGGAGCUUGCAGUGAGCCGAGAUCCCGCCACUGCACUCCAGCCUGGGCGACAGAGUGAGAAUCCAUCUCAAAAAAAAGAAAAGAAAAGAAAAGAAAAGAAUUUCUAAAAUUAAAUUAGUGAUGCUUUUUAGACACUAAAAUGUAUUACAUUAAAAGAAGUUGUAAAAUCAUAUCUUGGUAUAUCAAAGAGAAUUCUGUACAUUUAGUUGUUCAUGAGAAUUUUUUGACACUGAAAUAUGUAAUACUAAAAAAUUAUAACUUGGAAUUUCUCCCACUCUUUAAGAGAGGGAAAUAUCUAAAGGCUCUAAGCUUCCCAGUAGGAAUUACUGUAUAAUGCAUACUUCUGUAUAUAAUAAUUCUUAAAUGGUGGGAUUGAACAUUUUAAAUAUUUUUGAUAAGCUGAAAUAUGGGGUUUCAAAGUUGUUUAUCUUACACGAUUGGCAUUACAAAAACUAAAAACUAAAACUUCAAAGCAUCUUUUAGAGUUAAAGAAGUCAAGUUUUCAUCCCAACUUAUUUAAAAUUCCCCAAAAGCAUUCUUUCUACCUAGAAAGCCAUAUGCAUAACAAAACAAGUUUCCCACUGUUACAGGAAAUAUUUGCUCUGCUCUCCUUUUGUUAAAACUUUUCUAAUAAAAAUAAUUUCCAUUUUUCCAUAAAACACAGUAGUCCCUCCCUAUUCACAGGAUAUAUGUUCCAAGACCCCCAGUCAAUGCCUGAAACUGCAGACAGUAUUGAAGCCUAUAUAUACUAUGUUUUUCCUAUACAUAUGUACAUAUGAUAAAAUCAAAUUUAUAAAUCAGGCACAGUAAGAUAUUAACAACGAUAACUAAUAAUAAAAUAGAUCAAUUACAACAGUAUGCCGGCAUCACUGUACUUGUGCUUUGAGGCCAUUAUGAAGUAAAAAAAGGGUCAUUUGAACAAAAGCACUGUGAUACCAUGAAGGCUACUAAAUGAUGAAAGAGUGGGUAGCAUGUACAGCUUGAAUAUGGUGACUAGACAGAGAGAUGAUUUAUGUCCCGGGUAGGACAAGCAGGACAAUGCAAGAUUUUAUCAUGCUAC